GCCAUUUUGGGGUCACGAAGUAUGUGUGAGUGUGUGUUGUACGAAAAGAGUGAGUGAAUAGUAGUAUAAUGCCAGGCUGUUGUGCGGAAAAUUGUCGCAAUCGUGCUGAACAAGGAUUUUGUCUUUUUAGAUUUCCUGCUGACGAAAAACGCAAACAAAUUUGGAUUCAACAUUUCAUUUUGAUGAUUCUUAAUUUGAAAAUAAACGACAGGAUGGAUGACGUAAGUUAAAACCUAAUGCCAUUUUUACAAUUUUUACAAAUAAAAGCAUUAAUGACGUUUUACAAGAUGAAACUGAAUCUUCUAUAAGUGUUUUGCCUGAAGAAAAUGUAAUUGAUCAAAUAAAUAUUCAGCAUAAUAAUCAAUCUGUGCAUGUAGAUGCUAAAACUCAAACUGAAGUAUAUAACAAUGCUGCAUUUAAUACUAUACAAUUUUUUGAUGAAGAAUCUUUGAUGGAACAAUCAAACAAGCAAAUGAAAUUAAAUAUUUAAAAAAGAUAUUAGCUGAAACAAUAAAAAAAAAAUGAACUUGCAUUAAAAUUUAAAAAAGAAUAACUGUUAAGAUUAAACCACAACAAAGUACACAAAAAUUAUAAAAACAAAUAUGUAGUAUUGUUAAAAAGAGUAAAAAAAUAUCAUUUCUGAAAGACUUUGAAUUACGGUUAACUAAUCGAUGAUCAAAUUGGUCUCCAUAAUGCUUGAAAUUGGCUAUGCAAAUAAGAUAUGCUGUUGGAUGGAAAGCAUAUUCAUUUUUAAAGAAGAAUUUGGAAUUACCGUUGCCAUUCUAUUCCACUUUAUGUAGACAUAUUGCUCAACUAGAUUUUAGUCCUGGCGUACUAAAAGAUGUGAUUUCUUUAAUGAAAAAAAAAAGAAACUCACGCAUCUUCACAUCAAUCAGACUGUGUACUUUUAAUGGACGAAAUGGAUAUUUCAAAAGCAUUGGAAUAUGAUGUCAGCACAGGUAAUACAAAGCAUUAAAUAAAUAUAGAUGUACAUUAAUAAAAUGUACAUUAUACAAAUGUAAUUAAAUAAAUGUACAUCGUAAGGGUUAUAUGACAUUUAUGGCAGAUUGGGAAACAACCAACACAUGAUGAGCAUCAUAAAGAAUGAGUUAUAAUUUGUGAAAACAAAUAUUUAUAAAAUAAGUAAAACAAAUGAUGCAUUAAUUGAAUUUUAAUAAAACCAUUAAAUUACUGUAAACUGAUGUUGUAAUAUUGUUACGUUAAUUAACCAAACUAAUGUGCUAAAGUAAAUAAGUGCUUUCCAUAAUUAACUUGUUGAAAAUAAAUAUUUAUUUUAUUUUACAUAUAAAUCGAGCACUCA
rnacentral:lncRNA from 1 species